UACGAAGGGGGCUAGCGUUGUUCGGAUUUACUGGGCGUAAAGCGCACGUAGGCGGAUCGUUAAGUCGGAGGUGAAAUCCUGGAGCUCAACUCCAGAACUGCCUUCGAUACUGGCGAUCUUGAGUCCGGAAGAGGUGAGUGGAACUCCUAGUGUAGAGGUGGAAUUCGUAGAUAUUAGGAAGAACACCAGUGGCGAAGGCGGCUCACUGGUCCGGUACUGACGCUGAGGUGCGAAAGCGUGGGGAGCAAACAGG
rnacentral:rRNA from 1 species